AUCACACUGACUCUAGAAAUGUGGUUCUUUAUUGGGGCGAUUUUGCCCUCCCCCGGGGACAUCUGACAAGGUCUGGAGACAUUUUGAUUGUGGGUAGGGGGAGGGACACUCUGCUACAGGCAUCUAGUUGGCAGAGCCCGGAGAUACUGCUACACACCCUACACUGUGCAGAACAGCCCCUACGGCCAGGAAUUAUCAGGCCCAAACAAAAUACCAAGUUAGUUUUUAAUUUCAAAGUUUACGUGUAACAUUAUUUUUUAGAUAUAAAAAAUAUUCACACAUUAAUUUGAUCACAAGAAAUUUUAAAGAAAUUUAAACAUUUUCAGAAAAGGCUACUUCAAGGUGUCAUGACAGCUUUGGACCAAACAUUAAUGUUCUAUAUGACUUUGGGCAAGUCAGUCAUGUUUAUUAGACUUAAUAACCCAGGUAACGUUAGCUGUUGGAGGGUUUUUUAAAAAACGUUUUAUUUUGAAAAAACUUCAAACUUACAGGAAAAAUGGCAAGAAUACUACAAAGACCUAUUUAUUCAGAUACACCAGUUGUCACAAUUUUGCCAUAUUAACUUUAUCUAUUGAUCAAUUUCUCUUUCAGUCUAUUGACCUAUCUAUCUUGAACUAUUUGGGAUUAAGUUGUAGACAUCAGAUCCCCUUACCCUUAAACACUUUACCACGUCUUCCUAAGAAUAAGACCAUUACUCCACACAGUACACUUAUCUAAAUCAGGAGACAGCAUUGUUAUAAUACUGUUACCAAGUGGCAAGCUGGUGCACUGUCCAGACGGGGAGAGAGAGAGAGAGGACCUGAUUUGUAACACUUGCCAGUUCCCAUGUGUGAUGGUUUACUUUGGUUCAUAACUACCAUUGUCCUUGUUACAGUCUUUUAUUAAAAUGUGGGGUGUGUUAGGCCGCAAGGGCAGGCCUCAAGAAACAGAAUCUCUCUCCUGCCCUCUUUUCACCUGCCCCAAGGCAGGAUUCCAUCUUCUCCCACCUUUCCAACUGUGGGUCUUAAGACUUUUCAGAGAGGGUCCUGCCAUACACACUGGGGGAAGGAAUGCUGACGUCAUGAAGCUUCCAUGAAAACUCAAGAGGACUGAGUUCAGAGAGCUUCCGGAUAGCUGAAAGCAUGGAGGUUCCUGGUUCCUGGAGGGUGGCGCCCCAGGCAUGGAAGCUCUGAGCCCCUUCCUCCGCACCUCAUCUCUUCAUCUGUAUCCUUUGUAAUAUCCUUUAUUAUAAAACAGCAAAUGUGUUUCCCUGAGUUCCGUGAGCCACUCCAGCAAAUCAAUCAAACCCAAAGAGGGGGUCAUGGGAACCCCAACUUGAAGCUCAAUCGGAAUUUCCCAAGGCCCAGAUUUGCAACUGAUAUCUGGGGGUGAGGGCGGUCUUGGGGUCUGAGCCCUCAAUCUGUGGGAUCUGAUGCUACCUCCAGAUAGAUAGUGAAGGAACUGGGUGGAGGUCCUGGCUUGUGUCUGCCUCUUGGUGGUGGGGAGAAGUUCCCACACAUAUGGUCACAGGAGUCUUCUGUGUUGAUGAUUGCUGUUGUGGUGUGAGAGCAGAGGAAAAACACAGUUUGAGAGAGUUUUCCCAAAAUACCAUGCGCUUGCUCUGGAGAAGCCAGAGGUCAUGUCGUGAGGAUACUCAAGUUGCCAUUUGGAGAGGUGCACAUGGUGAAGAAAUGAGGCCUUCUGCCAAUGACCAUGAAUUCUUUGGCUAUUCUUAGGCCUUUUCUCAUCCAGAUAAGAUACUGAAUCAGCUUAUCAAGGGCCAACUUAUUGAAUUGUUAUUGAAUUUGAGAUGAAUCAAUAAAGAGAAAGGAGAGCCAUGAAAUUAGAAAAACUACCCUAAUUAAGUCUUCCCUUCUAAAAGUCAGGAAAACUAGCAUUACAUGAAAAUGAGUACCAAAAAAACUAAGGUCAAAUCCCAUACAAAGUCAUUAUGAAGAAAAAAAGAGAAUAAAAAAUAAUUUCUUUAGAAAAUAAAUUAUGACAGAAAGCCAUGGCUUCAAAACAGAUGAAAACUAAAAUAUUUCAAAAUAAGUUAAUAAACAUCUAAAAUGACAUUAGAUAUGAAAAAAUGACGUGUCAGAUUUAGAAAUAUACAGAAAGGAGAUGACAAACUCAGAAAAGAAGUAAAAAUUUUAAAAACAUUUCAGAAAUGAAGAGAGAAAGAAACACGAGCAAAUAAACAGAACUGAUAAUGCAUUAAAAGAAAAGAUGAAAAAAUAUGAGGCUAUAAAAGAGACGUGUGGUACAGGAUAACGGUCACCCAAAGAUGUCCCCAUCCUAAUCUCCAGAACCUGUGCCUGUGUCACCUGACAUGGCAAAGUGACAGCAAAUGUGACUACCUUAUGGAUCUCAAGAGAGAAGCCUGAUCCUGGAUCAUCUGGCUGAGUCCAGCCUAAUCGCAUGUGUCCUUAACAGUGGAGAGUCGACUGCAGUGGUAUGAAGGAAAUGCAGCUAUGGAAGAAACGGUCUGAGAAAUGGUACAUUGCUGGCUUUGUGGAUGGAGGAAAGUGGUCAUGAGCCAAGGGAUGUGUACUACCUCUAGAAGCUGGAAAAGGGAAGAAAACAGAUUUGCCCUAAAGCCUCCAGAAUGAAAUCCAGACCUACUGACACCCUGGUUUUAGCUCAGUGAGACCCAUGGUGGGCUUCUGAAGGCAAAAUUGUAAGAUAAUAAAUGUGUUAAGACACUAAAUUUAUGGUGAUAUGCUAUGGCAGUGGUAGAAAAUUAGUACAAGAUG